GGGGAUGACAGGUUUCGACGUUGGUCGUCGAGCCAGGGGAAGCGGGUCGAGGAUGCAUGGUCAUCUCGUCAACGAUCCAUGCAAACCAAUAGGUGCCGAUUCCAAGCGCACCGAGUUCGCCCUCGCCGCCUGAGCGAGCGCGACUCUGUCAGCCCGGGUGAGCUCCCGCCCCGGGUCCUGGCAUCGACUAGGGGGCUCACCUCUCACCGAGGUCGCGUAGGUGAGAGGGACAAUCAACGCGGCUGGGCCCGGCGAUGACAUGCCUGUAUGAGCAUCGGGGCCGAGCAGACCGCUGAACAGGAUGCACCCGGAGAAGCCCUGGUACCACGCUGACGGACGCGGGUUCGAUUCCCGCCAUCUCCACUC
rnacentral:tmRNA from 21 species